AGCAGCCGCGGUAAUUCCAGCUCCAAUAGCGUAUAUUAAAGUUGUUGCAGUUAAAAGCUCGUAGUUGAAUUUCGGGAUCAAAGGAUCGGUCAUGCCUUGGUAUGUACUGGUUUUAUUGGUUCUCACCUUCUAAAGAACCAUAAUGUCAUUCAUUUGAUGUUAUGGGGAAUUAGGACUGUUACCUUGAAAAAUUAGAGUGUUUAAAGCAGGCUUACGCUUGAAUACAUUAGCAUGGAAUAAUGAAAUAGGACAUCAGAUUCUAUUUUGUUGGUUUCUAGGAUCGAUGUAAUGAUUAAUAGGGAUAGUUGGGGGCAUUAGUAUUCAAUUGUCAGAGGUGAAAUUCUUGGAUUUAUUGAAGACUAACUACUGCGAAAGCAUUUGCCAAGGAUGUUUUCAUUAAUCAAGAACGAAAGUUAGGGGAUCGAAGAUGAUCAGAUACCGUCGUAGUCUUAACCAUAAACUAUGCCGACUAGGGAUCAGAUGAUGUUAAUUUUUAAUGUACU
rnacentral:misc_RNA from 1 species